rnacentral:sRNA from 1 species
AUAAAGCCUUGAAGAAUGGAUACCUCUAGGAUCAUGAUCUGGAAGGGAUAGGCAGAAGCCACACAAACUUUCCUAUAGUGCCCUUGUCACUGUGCCUCAGACUUGACCUGGAAGAUACACCGCUAAGAGUGGGAAGGAAGCUCAGUUUCCAUACCCAUGUAAUCGAUGACGUCU